UACAGAGGUCUCAAGCGUUGUUCGGAUUCAUUGGGCGUAAAGGGUGUGUAGGUGGCGCGCUAAGUCGGGUGUGAAAUCUCGGAGCUUAACUCCGAAACUGCAUUCGAUACUGCCGUGCUUGAGGACUGGAGAGGAGACUGGAAUUUACGGUGUAGCGGUGAAAUGCGUAGAUAUCGAGAGGAACACCGGUGGCGAAGGCGGCCUUCUGGACAGUGACUGACGCUGAGACGCGAAAGCGUGGGGAGCAAACAGG
rnacentral:rRNA from 1 species